CUGCAAUCUGUUUUUAGAGAAACCCUCCACUUUAACCUCCAAAUAGGAAAAAACGAAGAGACUUUCCUCUUCUCAUUUAAUCAAGAACAUAUGUUCAAAGAUAAUACCGGAGGCUUAUUCUGGGAAGCGUUCUGCUCUUCCUCCGACAGCCACGCAGCGAGCUCACGAGGCAGCCUCCACACAUAAUGAAAGCAAACGCCACCAUAAAUCUCCCGCUCGGCGGAGGUCACUUCAGAAAAAUCGCCCGCUGCUCAGAUAAGCACCAGCUUUGCUGAGGAACAUGGAAGGGGGAAAACACCGACUGUGAUAAACACCAGCAGGAUGACUGGAGUCCGCUGGAACCUGGAAUGGAGUUUUCUGACAGCAAAGGAUUACAGGAGCGUAACAGAAAUUAUGGAGAUUUCCCCGCUAGGCAUAAGGAUGCGAUCACUGUAGGCACCUGUGGGCCCAAGCAGGUUACCCACCAAUAUCCCUUUAAACACCAAAUUAUGGACUAUUAGGCCACUGCUUCAAGGCUUCUACAAAUGUGAAACCUUGACAAAUUCCCAAAUAAAAGCCAUAAAACCAAUCAUUUUUUAAACCUGUAUGAGUGACACCAGGAAAAUUACAGCAGUGUGGCAGGUCACUGUGAAAUAAAGCUGCCAGAAAGAAGCUUACGAU
rnacentral:lncRNA from 1 species